rnacentral:rRNA from 1 species
AAAUUGAAGAGUUUGAUCAUGGCUCAGAUUGAACGCUGGCGGCAGGCCUAACACAUGCAAGUCGAACGGUAACAGGAAGCAGCUUGCUGCUUUGCUGACGAGUGGCGGACGGGUGAGUAAUGUCUGGGAAACUGCCUGAUGGAGGGGGAUAACUACUGGAAACGGUGGCUAAUACCGCAUAACGUCGCAAGACCAAAGAGGGGGACCUUCGGGCCUCUUGCCAUCAGAUGUGCCCAGAUGGGAUUAGCUAGUUGGUGAGGUAACGGCUCACCAAGGCGACGAUCCCUAGCUGGUCUGAGAGGAUGACCAGCCACACUGGAACUGAGACACGGUCCAGACUCCUACGGGAGGCAGCAGUGGGGAAUAUUGCACAAUGGGCGCAAGCCUGAUGCAGCCAUGCCGCGUGUAUGAAGAAGGCCUUCGGGUUGUAAAGUACUUUCAGCG